rnacentral:rRNA from 1 species
UUAAAUUGAAGAGUUUGAUCAUGGCUCAGAUUGAACGCUGGCGGCAGGCCUAACACAUGCAAGUCGAACGGUAACAGAAAU